rfam:Schistosoma rodhaini strain Burundi genome assembly, scaffold: SROB_scaffold0001346
AUUCAGCUGACGAGUUCCAAAUAGGACGAAACGCGCGUCCUGGAU